UGGCCUUUUCCUUGGUAAGAUUUAAUUUGAGAAUAAAUAGAAGAGGCCAACAAUUGCAAUAGUUUAUUCCAAACUGCAGCCACUCUAACAGCAAGCUGCACUUGUUUUCCAGGAUGGAUAGAUUACUUCAAAAGGAAUUUAUCGCCGUGUGCAGCAGAGCUUGGCGAAGGUAGUGUAGUUUAUUUACUUAGCUCACUAACACAGUAUAUGCAAACGAAAUUACUGCACAUUCUUUUUAAGAUAAGACAGUGUAGUAGUAGUGUUUGGAGUUUCAGAAGGGAGGCAAUUUGGUUUGUGACUGCACAUUUUUUAAAGAAAUUACUGAAUAUUUUUUAAAGAAAUUACUUGAGACUACUCUUGUGUUUGUCUUGCCUUGUGACUGUUUCAAACUUCAAAUAAAUUGUUUGCUCAUCGGACUUUGUUGUGAGUUUUUCUCUUCCACGAAAAAUCUGUUCGGUCUAGAAGUUUCUGUAUUAAGUUGGUAUUGAUGUAGCUCUAACAAGGCCAUGAAACAAUUCAUACUGUUUCUUCAUUGUACUUUUCCCUUUGCAAACAGUCUACAACCUCUGUUGGUCUUGAUGUAGCUCUAACAAGGCCAUGAUAUAAUUCCUUGAAAUAUACCUGAUUGUUGUUCUGCUCUUAAUAUCAUUUACUUGAAAUAUACCUGAUCAUUUACUUGUACAUAAGUACUCCCUCUGUCAACUGGCUCCUCUGUUUGUGGGUCUUGGAAUUGAAAUUGAAUGAAAAAUAUCUGCAUUGAAUUCAAAUGAGAUAUAAUUUUGUCAACAGUAGCAACAUUACCUUGUUUUCUUCAGUAUCAUCAGUUUUUUUCUAGUGUCAUUAAACCAGGUUGAGAAGUGGAACAAAACAGAGGAAGAAUGGGACGUUUGCAGGGUCCCUCGAAAUCGUUUGUUUGAGAGUCUCGUCAGUUGCUUUUGUGUCGGUGCUAUUGUUGCCAGCAUGCUUAAAUGUACGCAUGUCUUAUGUAUUCUCAGCAUGCUUAAAUGUAUGCAUGUCUUUCCUCGGACUUGUGAAUGCCGAAAACGUAUGAGAUAUUUUUGGUUCAAGUCAUGCUGAUGUGAGAGAUUAUGUUGCUGCUAUGUGACAUUGCAAUUAUGUGAUGAUAUAUUGGUUCGAAGUCAAGCAAAUUAUGUUGUUCAUGUGAAAAACUGUUGCAAGAUU
rnacentral:lncRNA from 1 species